GAUGAACGCUGGCGGCGUGCCUAAUACAUGCAAGUCGAGCGAAAAGACGAGGAGCUUGCUCCUCUGACGUUAGCGGCGGACGGGUGAGAAACACGUGGAUAACCUACCUAUAAGACUGGGAUAACUUCGGGAAACGGGAGCUAAUACCGGAUAAUAUAUUGAACCGCAGGGUUCAAUAGUGAAAGACGGUUUUGCUGUCACUUAUAGAUGGAUCCGCGCCGCAUUAGCUAGUUGGUAAGGUAACGGCUUACCAAGGCGACGAUGCGUAGCCGACCUGAGAGGGUGAUCGGCCACACUGGAACUGAGACACGGUCCAGACUCCUACGGGAGGCAGCAGUAGGGAAUCUUCCGCAAUGGGCGAAAGCCUGACGGAGCAACGCCGCGUGAGUCAUGAAGGUCUUCGGAUCGUAAAACUCUGUUAUUAGGGAAGAACAAAUGUGUAAGUAACUAUGCACGUCUUGACGGUACCUAAUCAGAAAGCCACGGCUAACUACGUG
rnacentral:rRNA from 1 species